AUGACAGUCACAGGUGCUUCCAGUGCUGUGAGCUCUGCUGGGGGCUGAAGCAGAGCAGGAGGUCAGACCUGGGCCUGAGGUGGGGCACAGUCAAAUGGAGAAACAGGCAGGCAAGACUGAAAGGGAGAUCCCAGCUGAAGCUAUCAGGAUGGGACACUAGUUUCUGAAUAAAAACAACUGGAAAAAAAAAAAGAAAAGAAAAA